rnacentral:rRNA from 1 species
AACGAACGCUGGCGGCAUGCCUAACACAUGCAAGUCGAACGAGACCUUCGGGACUAGUGGCGCACGGGUGCGUAACGCGUGGGAACCUGCCUUUAGGUUCGGAAUAACUAAGAGAAAUUUGAGCUAAUACCGGACGAGGUCUUCGGACCAAAGAUUUAUCGCCUUUCGAUGUGCCCGCGUUGGAUUAGCUAGUUGGUGGGGUAAAGGCCUACCAAGGCGACGAUCCAUAGCUGGUUUGAGAGGAUGAUCAGCCACACUGGGACUGAGACACGGCCCAGACUCCUACGGGAGGCAGCAGUGGGGAAUAUUGGACCAUGGGCGGAAGCCUGAUCCAGCAAUGCCGCGUGAGUGAUGAAGGCCUUAGGGUUGUAAAGCUCUUUUACCCGAGAUGAUAAUGACAGUAUCGGGUGAAUAAGCUCCGGCUAACUCCGUG